AUCCUUAUUUGGUUCAUGAGCAUGUUGAUUGGGUGUUUAUGCCAUUGGGUGACAUGCCUCUCUCAAGCCUUUCUAUGCAUCAGCAUGAUUACCCACCUGAUA